rnacentral:ncRNA from 2 species
AUUAAUCUGAAAGCGCCUGGGCCAGCACCAAAUUUGGGUGCUGGUUGACGAGGAAGGGGUUGAUCGAGGUUUUCGGCGGGUGCCCCUCGGUGGCCCACCACCGUGAGGAUGUCUUGAAAACCGGGGAGCAAUCCCCGGGACAAAGGGGCAUCUAGUGGGAGC